GAUGAACGCUGGCGGCGUGCCUAAUACAUGCAAGUCGAGCGAACGGACGAGAAGCUUGCUUCUCUGAUGUUAGCGGCGGACGGGUGAGUAACACGUGGAUAACCUACCUAUAAGACUGGGAUAACUUCGGGAAACCGGAGCUAAUACCGGAUAAUAUUUUGAACCGCAUGGUUCAAAAGUGAAAGACGGUCUUGCUGUCACUUAUAGAUGGAUCCGCGCUGCAUUAGCUAGUUGGUAAGGUAACGGCUUACCAAGGCAACGUUGCAUAGCCGACCUGAGAGGGUGAUCGGCCACACUGGAACUGAGACACGGUCCAGACUCCUACGGGAGGCAGCAGUAGGGAAUCUUCCGCAAUGGGCGAAAGCCUGACGGAGCAAAGCCGCGUGAGUGAUGAAGGUCUUCGGAUCGGAAAACUCUGUUAUUAGGGAAGAACAUAUGUGUAAGUAACUGUGCACAUCUUGACGGUACCUAAUCAGAAAGCCACGGCUAACUACGUG
rnacentral:rRNA from 1 species